AAGAGACAGCAGCCGCCACGGUAAUACGUAGGGUGCAAGCGUUAAUCGGAAUUACUGGGCGUAAAGCGUGCGCAGGCGGUUCUAUAAGACAGAUGUGAAAUCCCCGGGCUCAACCUGGGAACUGCAUUUGUGACUGUAGAGCUGGAGUGCGGCAGAGGGGGAUGGAAUUCCGCGUGUAGCAGUGAAAUGCGUAGAUAUGCGGAGGAACACCGAUGGCGAAGGCAAUCCCCUGGGCCUGCACUGACGUUCAUGCACGAAAGCGUGGGGAGCAAACAGGAUUAGAUACCCCUGUAGUCCCUGUCUCUUAUAC
rnacentral:rRNA from 1 species